rnacentral:tRNA from 1 species
GCGGGAAUAGCUCAGUUGGUAGAGCACGACCUUGCCAAGGUCGGGGUCGCGACUGAGUGUCGGCCAGUUAGCAAAUAACGUUUCCCGCACCA